AGGGGUCAGACUAGAUGGCCUGGGAGGUUCCUUCUGACUCGCUCUGUUUCUAAGUUUCUAUGUUUCUAAGUGGGUAGUCCAUUGUCUGGUGAAAUCCCAGAAACUGCAGUGGGCUUGAAUAGGAAACAUCUGAUGUUUAGCAGAUUCUGUUUAGCGCCCUGGCUAGACUAACUUCUGUUGUUCUCAGUGACACAAGCAACUGCCUGCCCUCUUUGAAAGAUAAGAACAGUGUCCUCAUCAGUCAUAAAAUUCAUUUGAAAACUCUUGCACUGAUCCACUGAACUAGGAACUGCACACAGUUCCUUUACUGCUGCCCUUCUAAGACUCAUUCUUCUUUGAACUUCUUGGCUUCAGUAUCCAUUUGAGUUGAAGACUGAGCCAAGCUCUCUUAAUAAUAUCGAUGAUAAUCCUGUGGAGCUGCUGUGGGGAUUGCUAUGGCAUGUUCCAAGGAGAUGAGAAGAUGGCAACAAGGGAGAGUGCCUUUUCAGUGGUGGCCCUCAAUUAUAGAACAUCUCCUCAGUGAGGCCUGCUGGGUGUCAACCUCGUCAACGUUCUGGAAAUAGGUUAAGACUUUUCUCUACUCCCAAGAUUUGACAGCAUAUGGCAUCAUAUUGACAUAUUAUUAAUAUGUUAACACUAAUAUUAUUAAUUAGCUGUUGUUGUUGUUACAUGUAACUGGUUUUAUAUUGUGUUAUUAUAUUGCAUUUUAGGGUUUUGAU